ensembl:lncRNA
CCAGGGCUUCCCUUACAUUAGGCAGAGUCCAUGUGGGCCAGCAGACAGCCAGGCGAGCAGGAAGGAAGGGUUAAUUGUCAGUAGCAAGCUCCCUGUCUGAGUGGCGAUUACCCAGGCGGACGCAGGACUUACCUGAGCCAUCUCCUCAUGCCGCAUGCCCAGAACAUCCUUCAUCAAGUGGUAAGCCUCGCAGAUCAGCUGCAUGUCACCAUACUCUAUCCCGUUGUGCACCAUCUUCACAAAGUGCCCCGCCCCCUCGUCCCCCACCUGUUCACAGCAGGGUUCUCCGGUUCCUACUUUUGCAGCGAUGGCCUGGAAGAUCGUCUUGAUGUGGGGCCUGCAUGAAGGGGAAGUAGAGUUCAGCUGACAGAAGGCUGGAGCUCUCUCAGUUCAUGCUCACACAUCACUCAGAUUUGGAGUGCUAAACUUUCCAGACACUCUAUAGUCUGACUGUUGACAAGCGUGCACCACCCACCCUGUGUGGGCCUUGGAGUGGACAACACCUGAGUCGACUCAAAAGGAGACAGCAAGGCAGAAGUACCACGGAAGCACCGAAGAGCGAGGGGCGUGGCUCAGCAGUAAAGUGCACACCUAUCAUGCACGAGACCAGGAUUCCAUCCCCAGCACCUCACUGACCCCCUCAGAACAGGGAAGAAUCUCCCACCACUUUUUGAGGACAAGCUAUGAUGCAAACCAAGCCUUUCAAGAACACCUGAGGGACACUCUCACCGUCUGGAUGUCUGUCACCAGGUACAACAUGGUCCUGCACAUCUGGAUCAGAGAGAAGCCAGGACUGUGCGGUACUCUCAGAGAGGCGCUCAUCUGGAGCAAACCAACUCUUAUCUCAUCCCACCUCACUGGCAGCUCAGAGGAACCCUUAAGGCGUUCUCCUCACGAGCCUCCCUCCUCCAAGCAAAGCUACCUCUUCUCAAGAGCGUUCGGUGCAGACCCCAAAACCUGACGCCUGCAGCGUCGAUGCUUAGGACUGCACACAAAGGUCAGCAAUCCGUCUCUGCCGGGACAGCGUGAGAGAGGGGGAGGACACACAGACAUGAUGCGAGAGCACAGGAUCUAGAUGAGACGUGCCCAAGGCCUCCCAGCUCUAACCUUCUACCUCACCCACACCAAGCUGGUCUGUGCUGAAAUCCGUGGUGCUGAGGAACUUACCAGGCCUCUUUGUUCCCUCCUGGCAUGAGGGAUGGCCCAUACCGAGCCCCUUCCUCACCACCACUGACUCCACUCCCCACGAACAAGAUGCCCUUGGCCUUGAGGUCCUGGCAUCUUCUCUAAAAGAGAGAAAAACAGUUUCAGGAUUUCCUCAUAAAAUAAAUUCUGAUGAAUGAAAGGAGGUGCAAGAGAGAACUCACAUUUGUGAGUAAAUG